rnacentral:tRNA from 1 species
GGCCCCGAGGUGUUGUUCAUACCAGGUUGCAAACCUGGAGAAGCGGAUUCAAGCCCGCCGGGUCCU